rnacentral:rRNA from 1 species
AUUGAACGCUGGCGGCAUGCUUUACACAUGCAAGUCGAACGGUAACAGCACUUCGGUGGCUGACGAGUGGCGAACGGGUGAGUAAUACAUCGGAACGUGCCUAGUAGUGGGGGAUAACUACUCGAAAGAGUAGCUAAUACCGCAUGAGAUCUAAGGAUGAAAGCAGGGGACCUUCGGGCCUUGCGCUACUAGAGCGGCUGAUGGCAGAUUAGGUAGUUGGUGGGAUAAAAGCUUACCAAGCCGACGAUCUGUAGCUGGUCUGAGAGGACGACCAGCCACACUGGGACUGAGACACGGCCCAGACUCCUACGGGAGGCAGCAGUGGGGAAUUUUGGACAAUGGGCGCAAGCCUGAUCCAGCAAUGCCGCGUGCAGGAUGAAGGCCUUCGGGUUGUAAACUGCUUUUGUACGGAACGAAAAGCCCUCUUCUAAUACAGGAGGGUCAUGACGGGACCGUAAGAAUAAGCACCGGCGAACUACGU